UACGUAGGGUGCAAGCGUUGUCCGGAAUCAUUGGGCGUAAAGAGCGUGUAGGCGGCCCGGUAAGUCCGCUGUAAAAGUCAAAGGCUCAACCUUUGAAUGUCAGUGGAUACUGCCGGGCUAGAGUCCGGAAGAGGCGAGUGGAACUCCGGGUGUAGCGGUGGAAUGCGUAGAGAUCCGGAAGAACACCAGUGGCGAAGGCGGCCCGCUGGGCAGUGGCUGACGCUGAGGCGCGACAGCGUGGGGACGCAAACAGG
rnacentral:rRNA from 1 species